AGCGAACGCUGGCGGCAGGCCUAACACAUGCAAGUCGAACGAACCUUUCGGGGUUAGUGGCGGACGGGUGAGUAACACGUGGGAACGUGCCUUUAGGUUCGGAAUAAUUCAGGGAAACUUGUGCUAAUACCGAAUGUGCCCUUCGGGGGAAAGAUUAAUCGCCUUUAGAGCGGCCCGCGUCUGAUUAGCUAGUUGGUUGAGGUAAUGGCUCACCAAGGCGACGAUCAGUAGCUGGUCUGAGAGGAUGAUCAGCCACAUUGGGACUGAGACACGGCCCAAACUCCUACGGGAGGCAGCAGUGGGGAAUCUUGCGCAAUGGGCGAAAGCCUGACGCAGCCAUGCCGCGUGAAUGAUGAAGGUCUUAGGAUUGUAAAAUUCUUUCACCGGGGACGAUAAUGACGGUACCCGGAGAAGAAGCCCCGGCUAACUUCGUG
rnacentral:rRNA from 1 species